UUCAUUGACUGAUUUUUAUUAUAACAGACAAUUGUUAUUACAACAAAUUUAGAAAGUAAUCUUAGAAUAAGACUAAGCUUUAUCUGAUUUCAUAGAAUAAGCUUUUAGUUUGCUUUGCUCAUUGUUAUUAUUAUAAGACACAAUCUUUAAGAAAUUAGUUUUCUACAAUAAACUGAAAAAAUGAAAGAAAGACCAGAUAGACGAAGAUGAUAGGAAGUCUUGGGUUCUUGGAAUCAAAAUAAGAAGGGAAGAGGUCUGUGAUCGGAGAUAGUGUUUUAUUGAUGUGUAUGGUUUUGUGGUUUUGAAUUGGUGGUUUUUGUUGUGCUUAAGUUUUAAUUGAUCUUGGUUUCUAUGGGGUAUUGAUUUUGAUUUCCAUGUGUUUGGGUGUUGUUUUGUGGUUUAUAGUGCUUUACUCAUUUGAGAAGCCUCCACUGAUAUCGGUAUCCACUGUUUAGCAAUUUCAUGCUUAUCCACCACAAUCAAUAGGAAUCAAGGCUUGAUUAGGUAGCAUUUGAGGUGUUGUCAAUUGUGAAGCUGCUGCUGCUGCUGACAUUCCAAUUAUCUUUCUCAGGCCCAACAAAAGAGCUCCUCCUAAGUUAGUCGAACUUCAGUUGAUUAACCCUUGAGUCAAGUGAUGGCAUCUUCGAGUAGGACGAAGCGAGUGGAAAGAUUGUUUGGAGGGACUAAAUGUAAUAGUAUGUUUUUUGCGUGGAGAUGAAUUGGAUCAAGUUGAUUCAAAGAGAUGGAAAAGAACAUUCGAUAAUGCAUCCAAGGAAUAGCAGCCGUCAAAGACUUCUGAUACACCAAGUUUCACACCAAUUUAUUCAUUGUAAUCAGAACAUUUCCAUUUUGUACAAACCAAACCCUUUAUGUAAAAUAUUAUGGAAUACAAUGUAAACAAAUGAAAUCCCGCAGCAAAGUGCGGGCAAAUCUUUCUAGUAUAAUAUAUUUUCCAGAGAAAUUCUUUACUUUCA